AUCUCCUAGGGAACAAAGAGAAUUCAGUGAUAAGAACAUACAAAGAGUAGAUUUCAAGAUUUUGGAACUAGAAUGCCUAAUGCUUGAAGAUUUAGUAACUAGGAAAAGGUUCAGUCUCGUCCUUAUAGUCAUGUCCUUUGGGUUAAUGUCAGAAGGAGAGAAGGCUUAGCUACACAAGGCAGAAAUCUUGUCUCAGCUUUUAAACAACAACAACAAAAAACUGUUCUUCCCCUAACCUUGCAUAGGCAAUGAAUGUGUCCUUGUCACAAAUAACAUUUCAUUUCAUUUUAUUUCAUUGUACUUUAAUUAAAUUUGCAUUUAAAUUGGUAACCCACUUUAAAAGGUGCUGGGGAUACAAAGAAGAAAAUAGAAAUUCUUCUGCUUAACAAGCUAGAGCCUACUAGGAAGAAAGACAGUAUCAACAGUGAUAACCACUGGUAACAAGCCGUCUGUGGGCUGCCACCAGCCUACAGGCCACACCUAAAAAGCAGACUGACAGAAUAUACAUAAAAUGAGAACGAAGUGAAGCCACAGAAGCAGCUCAACUCUGGGCCAGGGAAGAACCUGCUAACUUUCAGAACUCCAACACCUCAGGCCUGAGGCUGAAGGGGCUCUACCCACUCGCGCCUCAGGAAACUGAAGACAAUCAGGCCGCCUGCAGGAAUGAUAGGACUACCCUACUUGUCACCAGUGGAAGGUAAUGAUGAGGGAAGGCAGCAGUUUCCUCCCAAGCUCUCAGGUCUCCACUGUAUCUGAGGAGAGAGAGAUAAGAUUGGGCUCAAGAAGGCUGCAAGUUCCUGCGUGAAGGUGGGAAAGAAAAGCGGCAAGUGGAGGUUGCUGCCUCAGGGUGCCAUACAUACACCCGUGAGGACAGGGGCCAGGGGAACGUCAAGCAUUAGGAUUAGCCACUCCUUUCAACCAGACUUUCUUCUCAACCUCAGAGAACAAGGUUUCUUUAUGUAUGAGGCUAACCUCUCCCGUGGCAUUCUAGAUUCAAUCUUCUUCCUUUUGAAAUUCAAGUCCAUCAAUUAUCUUUUUUCCCCUUUCAUUUUUUAACCAUCUUCCUUCCACUCAGUCAUCUGGAUGGUCUAAGACUCCCGCCCUGCCUCAAUAAUUUCAAACCACUUCAGAUCUUGUGAACUCUUCUCUCCUAAAUCUCCCUUCAAAGUGUUACCUCUCCUUUAUUUCACUGCCACCGUCGUAGGUAAGGCCCCCAUUUCUUAUUCCAGACCACAAUAAAUCCUUACCAAGUCUUUAAAA